CGGCGGCGUCGAGCAGGGCCUGGCCCAGGCCGUCAACGCCGGCCUGCCGCCGUUCGCGGUGGUCGCCGUCGAC
rnacentral:tRNA from 1 species